rnacentral:pre_miRNA from 1 species
AGUGGAACAGCUGGAUCAAAUGGUGAUUCCAUUCCCAAUUUUCUGAGGAAUCUCCAUACCGCUUUCCAUAGUGGUUACACCAAUUUGCAGUCCCAUCAGCAAU